GACGAACGCUGGCGGCGUGCUUAACACAUGCAAGUCGAGCGAUGAGAUCACUUCGGUGAAGGAUUAGCGGCGAACGGGUGAGGAACACGUGAAGAAUCUGCCUUCAACUCUGGGAUAACUCCGGGAAACCGGGGCUAAUACCGGAUAUGAGCCUUGAUCGCAUGAUCGGGGCUGGAAAGUUUUUCGGUUGAAGAUGACUUCGCGGCCUAUCAGCUUGUUGGUGAGGUAAUGGCUCACCAAGGCGACGACGGGUAGCCGGCCUGAGAGGGCGACCGGCCACACUGGGACUGAGACACGGCCCAGACUCCUACGGGAGGCAGCAGUGGGGAAUAUUGGGCAAUGGAGGAAACUCUGACCCAGCGACGCCGCGUGCGGGGUGAAGGCCUUCGGGUUGUAAACCGCUUUCAGCAGGGAAUAAGCGCAAGUGAAGGUACCUGCAGAAGAAGCACCGGCUAACUAUGUGCCAGCAGCCGCCGUAA
rnacentral:rRNA from 1 species